rnacentral:rRNA from 1 species
GCGGCGGACGGGUGAGUAACACGUAGGCAACCUGCCCACAAGACCGGGAUAACAUUCGGAAACGAAUGCUAAGACCGGAUACGCAAGCCUGGGGCAUCCCGGGCUUGGGAAACACGGCGCAAGCUGUGGCUUGUGGAUGGGCCUGCGGCGCAUUAGCUAGUUGGCGGGGUAACGGCCCACCAAGGCGACGAUGCGUAGCCGACCUGAGAGGGUGAACGGCCACACUGGGACUGAGACACGGCCCAGACUCCUACGGGAGGCAGCAGUAGGGAAUCUUCCACAAUGGGCGAAAGCCUGAUGGAGCAACGCCGCGUGAGUGAGGAAGGCUUUCGGGUCGUAAAGCUCUGUUGCCAGGGAAGAAUAAGGGCCAGUUAACUGCUGGUCCGAUGACGGUACCUGAGAAGAAAGCCCCGGCUAACUACGUGCCAGCAGCCGCGGUAAUACGUAGGGGGCAAGCGUUGUCCGGAAUUAUUGGGCGUAAAGCGCGCGCAAGCGGUUCUUUAAGUCUGGUGUAUAAGUGCGGGGCUCAACCCCGUGAGGCACUGGAAACUGGGGAACUUGAGUGCAGAAGAGGAGAGCGGAAUUCCACGUGUAGCGGUGAAAUGCGUAGAGAUGUGGAGGAACACCAGUGGCGAAAGCGGCUCUCUGGACUGUAACUGACGCUGAGGCGCCAAAGGCUGGGGAGCAAACAGGGUUAGAUACCCUGGUAUUCCACGCCCUAAACGAUGAAUGGUAGGUGGUGGGGGGGGAUCGCCCCCCCGGGGCGAAAGUUAAACAUUAAAGCCUUCCGCCGG